AUGUGGGCCCCAUCUGUCGGGCUGAUGUGGCAUGCUUGUGUGGACAAUUUUGCUGAGUUGGAUGAGGUCCCACCUGUCAAUGACUCGAGUGUUUAUCUUUUUCACUUUUUCUUUUUCCAUUUUUCUCAUGGGCAUUACAACAAACAGGCUAUUGGCGUCUCUGUAAGCGGCUCCAUGACCAGGAAGCAAGGCCGUGCGGCAGCUCACCGGGGAGCCGGCUUAUGCAGUCACGACAAGGAGAAGCUCCGGCGGCGCCGCGACCAGGCGAGGCCGCGCGACGGCUCACCUGGGAGCCGGCUGAUGCAGUCGUGA
rnacentral:rRNA from 1 species